rnacentral:rRNA from 1 species
GGGGAAUAUUGCACAAUGGGGGAAACCCUGAUGCAGCGACGCCGCGUGAAGGAAGAAGUAUCUCGGUAUGUAAACUUCUAUCAGCAGGGAAGAAAAUGACGGUACCUGACUAAGAAGCCCCGGCUAACUACGUGCCAGCAGCCGCGGUAAUACGUAGGGGGCAAGCGUUAUCCGGAUUUACUGGGUGUAAAGGGAGCGUAGACGGAAUAGCAAGUCUGAUGUGAAAGGCUGGGGCUUAACCCCAGGACUGCAUUGGAAACUGUUGUUCUAGAGUGCCGGAGAGGUAAGCGGAAUUCCUAGUGUAGCGGUGAAAUGCGUAGAUAUUAGGAGGAACACCAGUGGCGAAGGCGGCUUACUGGACGGUAACUGACGUUGAGGCUCGAAAGCGUGGGGAGCAAAC